rnacentral:misc_RNA from 1 species
UAUUGUUUCAUCCUAUUUGUUUGUAUGCUUGUGUCUCUGUCCAUAAUUUUGCUAGGUAAAAGCAUGUAUAGGUGUGUGCAAAGAUACGCAUGCGUCCUGGUAGGUGAUUCAGGGCUAUAAUAACAAUACAUGAUCAAAAUUCAGAAAAACGAAAAAGAGCGUAAAAAGAUCAUAAUCUGCAAAGUAACAAACAAUCAAGCCCGGUCGAGGAAAACCCAUGGUGUUUAUGAAACCCAAUAAUGUAAAUUAAGGAAGCUUUGAAAAGGGAAAAUCGAGAGAGAGAAAUGGAAUCGCCUUCAAUUUAGCUUCAAUUUAGCGUCACGCAGAGCAACAAUGCCCGUGGAUCGCCAACGGGAGAUCCUGCUGGCUUUGGAGUCGACGUUUUGGCUGGCACAGCAACCCAUCUUCGUUAAACCUCUCUUGUGAACGAAAUUUUGCCACAAAAACCAAUAGAAGUAAAGAGAAACGAGAAUCAAAAACUGGGGUCUUGGUUUUGUUGCCUCCAGUAAUGAAAGAGAGGAGGUUUAAGGUGGGGGUCAAGGUGCUAGAGACGUCACUGUUGUUAUCAGAAAGGACACCUCGGCUCCCCCAACCAAAGGAGAAAUUUGUUGGAUUUUCCAACUCCAGUAGAAUUUUCC